rnacentral:rRNA from 1 species
AUUGAACGCUGGCGGCAUGCUUUACACAUGCAAGUCGAACGGUAACAGGCCGCAAGGUGCUGACGAGUGGCGAACGGGUGAGUAAUGCAUCGGAACGUGCCCAGUCGUGGGGGAUAACGCAGCGAAAGCUGCGCUAAUACCGCAUACGAUCUAUGGAUGAAAGCGGGGGACCGUAAGGCCUCGCGCGAUUGGAGCGGCCGAUGUCAGAUUAGGUAGUUGGUGGGGUAAAGGCCUACCAAGCCAACGAUCUGUAGCUGGUCUGAGAGGACGACCAGCCACACUGGGACUGAGACACGGCCCAGACUCCUACGGGAGGCAGCAGUGGGGAAUUUUGGACAAUGGGCGCAAGCCUGAUCCAGCAAUGCCGCGUGCAGGAAGAAGGCCUUCGGGUUGUAAACUGCUUUUGUACGGAACGAAAAGGCUCUGGUUAAUACCUGGGGCUCAUGACGGUACCGUAAGAAUAAGCACCGGCUAACUACGUGCCAGCCGCCGCCGUAACAC